rnacentral:lncRNA from 1 species
GGGAGAUUCGGCUAUCCCGAGGACAAUUUUUUCAGAUUUUACGUUAUUCUGAGAGAGUUCUGUUUGUCUCUGAUAGCCACAGGGGAAAUACAGUGGAUCAAAAUGAAGAUGUGAAUUCCUGUGCGGGAAGGUGGCAUAAGCUGAAAUAAACAAUAUCAGUAGGAUGAAGAAUAAAAAUCUUGGUGAUGGUUUUCUUUAAGUUAGAGGUUGCAGAUGGUUUGCUGCUUUGGCAAUUAUUUGAGGUUACAGGAGUAGAGAAAACACGAUUUCCUGAUGCCCAGGUUGGUGUGAAAAAAGUAGAGGCUCAAAGCUUCUUU